CCGAUGGUGGAGCGUUGGCUCCUGGCUCUUCGCCUCCAGCCUCCUCCGCUCCGCCGUUUCCUCCUCGGAUUCGAGCGCGUCGAAGACGGCGGCUCCCACCAGCAGCCAGCUCUGCUCAGUGCCGGCGGAUGGCUCCGUUCCCUGAUGUGAUGGCUGCUGACACCGAGCUGUUCCUGACCUGUGAGCUGCUCUGCCUCUGCAGCAGCAGGGUGGCUGCAGUCCCUGAGGACGAGACACGGGUCUAGGGGGUGGGCAACCUCCUUCCCUCUUCGACAAACCCACCAGGGCAGCCAACAUGUGGUGUGGGGUGCAAGGACCCUCCCCAAUGCCCUCCCGUGCCCCAGAACAAACCCUGCCCAGCAGGAGCCGCGUGAUCCCUUAAAAACCCAAUGAAAACACCAAAACGGUUGUUCGUGCCAUCUGGAGCAAAAGAAAAUGGAAUUUUAAUUAAAAACUCAUGAGCUCGUUGCUAUAAAUACAUCGUCUUGUUGUAAGUUAUUCACCCACCAGGAACACAGAGGUCUGAUCCCGGGCACAGCCGGAGGAGCAGGGUUGUUUUCUCGUUGCUGUUUUGCCUUGCUUUGCUUGUCCCAGGGCUGCGGAGAGCAGCAGGACUCAUCCUGUAGCCCAUGGGGCUUUUAGAGGCAGACAGAGAAGUGUGGGGUCCUCUUCCCAAGUGCUCAUAUUGGAGCUCUUCCCAAAGAGGAGAUGCUGGGACAAGUGCUUGGAUCGAAGCAGCAGCACGGGGUGAGCAGCUGCCUUGAGGAAGCAGCAAAGGGAGGAAAGCUGUUAAUCCUGAAACCUAACGAUGGAGAUAGAGUGGCAGCAGGAAAGGAAAAGCUCUCUGACAGCAGCACUGUGUCGGAUCGAACGUUUCUGGCUCAGGAUCCUGUCUCAAUUUGUGGAGAACAAGGACAGCCCCAGAUUGGGAUGGAGCAAAGCAGACAGCC
rnacentral:lncRNA from 1 species